CUGUCAUAUAAACUGUCUAAUGAAUUUUGUAUUCUAAAGUAUUUUAUAUUUUCUUAGAAAUAAUUUUACAACGUAAAACAUUUUCUUUAAACAUACAUAUAAUACAAUCUGUUGUAUUUCAUAAAUCUUGGCAGACGUAUGAAAAGAUGAAUACAUACAUGAAAGGCGUGAGAAUUAAUUUCUACAGUAUAUUGAGCUGUUAGUUAGCUGAUAAAGUGGCAAGAAAUCAUUGAACAAAAACGACAAAACAAUCGACCUGUUUAAAAUAUCUAUUGGAUAAAAAAGGUGGAGAUGCGUAUACUUUUCUGAAAGACCCAACAAAAAUUGAAUAAUUUUGUGUCAAAGAAAAAAUAGUAUGAUGAAGAAGAAGGUACGACUAUACUCAGCCCGUUUAGAAAUGCAAGUUACUAACAAAUCACUUUAUAUAAGAUUAUUGUAACACUUUAUACCUAUAUGCUUGUAAUACAACAUACAUUCGAAUAAGAAGACUAGAAUUUGA